rnacentral:rRNA from 1 species
AGGACGAACGCUGGCGGCGUGCUUAACACAUGCAAGUCGAACGGAAAGGCCCUUCGGGGUACUCGAGUGGCGAACGGGUGAGUAACACGUGGGUGAUCUGCCCUGCACUUUGGGAUAAGCCUGGGAAACUGGGUCUAAUACCGAAUAGGACCACGGCAUGCAUGUGCUGUGGUGGAAAGCUUUUGCGGUGUGGGAUGGGCCCGCGGCCUAUCAGCUUGUUGGUGGGGUGAUGGCCUACCAAGGCGACGACGGGUAGCCGGCCUGAGAGGGUGUCCGGCCACACUGGGACUGAGAUACGGCCCAGACUCCUACGGGAGGCAGCAGUGGGGAAUAUUGCACAAUGGGCGCAAGCCUGAUGCAGCGACGCCGCGUGGGGGAUGACGGCCUUCGGGUUGUAAACCCCGUUUCACGUAGGGACGAAGCGCAAGUGACGGUACCUACAGAAGAAGCACCGGCCAACUACGUAGCCAGCAGCCGCGGUAA